rnacentral:tRNA from 1 species
AGGGUUGUAGCUCAGUGGUAGAGCAUUUGCCUCGCAUGCUGAGGUCCUGGGUUCAAUCCUCAGCACCACAU